GAAAACCAACAUUAAUAGACCCCAACACAGAGAACCGCCAGACAAAAAUGGAGGAGGAAGGGGAGAACUUACCAACACUAAAACAUACAUUGAUUCAGGACAGAGUGAUGGUGGUCAUUACACCAGGAAAAGAAGUGUUUCACCUCAUCGCCUCAGAAGGAUGGAACGAGGAAGUAAAAGUGCGAAUCCAGCCAUGGAAACAAGUGGAGGCAGGUCAGAAUCGGCACUAUGUGAUGAUAUCUCCCAUGAAAUUGAUGGAAGACAACCACAAAGUUGUGAGGGGCUAUCUCGCUCUUGAAGAUCAAUCCCCAAUACCAAGCCAUACCAUACCUUCCAUGGAUAUGCUGAUCUGGAAUUACAGAGGGGUAGGAAAUCAAAGGUUUAAGAGAACCAUGAGAGAACUUGUUCAAAUCCAUAAACCAGAGUUACUUAUUCUUAUGGAGACCAAAGUGGAAUUUAAAUCUGUGGGAAUGUUCUCUAAUUGCAUGGGCUUCACUACUUCUGCUCACGUGGAUCCAAUUGGCCGCAGUGGAGGCAUUUGGAUGAUUUGGAAUCCAAAUGUGGUUAAUGUUAGAGUAGUUGAGGGUAGUUCCCAAUUGAUUACAACAACUAUAUCCAGGCAAGACUUCCCAGAUUGGCUGCUUUUCAGUUGUCUAUGCAUGUCCAAACAACAACAAACGUGAAGAGCUUUGGGAGCACCUAGAAGCAAUUUUGUAGAAUAUGACUGAUCCUUGCCUAGUUACAGGGGAUUUUAACGAUUUCUCCACCAGUAAUGAAAAAAGGAGCUUCACUGGUAAUCAAAAUCUAAGCCUGAGUCAAGAUCACAGAAGAAGCAGGAAGUUUAAUAAGAGGAUGAGUAACUGUAAGCUAAUGGAUUUAGGCUGCACAAGACCGAGGCUAACUUGGUCUAAUAACCGAAAAGGAUGGGCUAAUACCAUGGUUAGGUUAGAUAGAGCUAUGUGUAAUACGGAGUGGAGAACUAGCUUUCCUGAUAGAGCUGUUUGCAACUUGCCUCGCACAUAUUCUGACCAUUCCCCUAUGAUGGUGUUCACACAAGGUAGACUAAAAUUAUAUACGGAUGGCAGUAGAAGAGUUGGUGGCGAUGGAGGAUUUGGGGGCCUAAUCAGAGAUGAAAGAGGAACUUGGGUGUGUGGCUACUAUGGAAAAUUGCACAGUGGAACCAGUUUAGAAGCUGAAUUGUGGGCUGUAUACAAAGGGUUGACUAUCAUACUACAAAAAUGAAUGAACCAAGUCAUGAUCGAGACCGAUGCCGAACAAGUAGUGCAAUUGCUACAAGAAGAACCAGGGGACAGAUGCCCUUUCAAGAACCUGGUGGAGGAUGCCCAGAUUCUUCUCAGAGGGUGAGGGUGUGAUUGCUCUGUGCAACAUGUAUGGAAAGAAGGCAAUUUGUGUGCUGAUUUUUUGGCAAAAAUGGGAGCUACUCAACUUGAAGAAAUACUGGUGAUGAAUGACCCACCAACUGAGUUAAGAGAGUUGCUUGCUGCUGAUAUGAUAGGCUUGGGUAGGAUGAGGACUUAGUUCCUCAUUUGUUGUUUUAAUUCCGUUGUACCAAAAAAAAAGAAAAAAAAGA